GGGAGCAAUCCUGGUGGCGAGUGGCGAACGGGUGAGUAAUAUAUCGGAACGUGCCCAAUCGUGGGGGAUAACGCAGCGAAAGCUGUGCUAAUACCGCAUACGAUCUACGGAUGAAAGCGGGGGACUCAGCAAUGGGCCUCGCGCGAAUGGAGCGGCCGAUAUCAGAUUAGCUAGUUGGUGGGGUAAAGGCUCACCAAGGCGACGAUCUGUAGCUGGUCUGAGAGGACGACCAGCCACACUGGAACUGAGACACGGUCCAGACUCCUACGGGAGGCAGCAGUGGGGAAUUUUGGACAAUGGGCGCAAGCCUGAUCCAGCAAUGCCGCGUGCAGGAUGAAGGCCUUCGGGUUGUAAACUGCUUUUGUACGGAACGAAAAGACUCCUUUUAAUAAAGGGGGUUCAUGACGGUACCGUAAGAAUAAGCACCGGCUAACUACGUGCCAGCAGCCGCGGUAAUA
rnacentral:rRNA from 1 species